AAGUCGUAACAAGGUUUCCGUAGGUGAACCUGCGGAAGGAUCAUUAAUGAGAUCGUGCCCUCCGGGGUAGACCUCCCACCCUUUGUAUACUAUACUCUGUUGCUUUGGCGAGCCCGUCUCUACAGACUACCGGCCCCGGCUGGUCCGUGCUCGCCAGAGGACCUAAAACUCUGAAUUAUAAUGCCGUCUGAGUACUAUAUAAUAGUUAAAACUUUCAACAACGGAUCUCUUGGUUCUG
rnacentral:misc_RNA from 1 species